GCGUGAGUGAAGAAGGCCUUAGGGUUGUAAAGCUCUUUUAUCAGGGAAGAUAAUGACGGUACCUGAAGAAUAAGCCCCGGCAAACUUCGUGCCAGCAGCCGCGGUAAUACGAAGGGGGCUAGCGUUGUUCGGAUUUACUGGGCGUAAAGCGCACGUAGGCGGUCCGUUAAGUCGGGGGUGAAAUCCUGGGGCUCAACCUCAGAAUUGCCUUCGAUACUGGCGGUCUAGAGACCGGAAGAGGUUAGUGGAAUUCCCAGUGUAGAGGUGAAAUUCGU
rnacentral:rRNA from 1 species